UUGCCCAUUUAAGACUGUCUGUGUCUUGAAUGACUAACACAGGGGGGUAGAAGAAUUCUCUCAAAAACCUGAAGUAUUGGCUUGUUAAUCCUUGCUUCGGAUCCUGUCGGGAGAAACACAU